rnacentral:rRNA from 1 species
GAUGAACGCUAGCGGCAGGCUUAAUACAUGCAAGUCAAGGGGGUAGCAAUACAACCGGCGCACGGGUGAGUAACGCGUACACAACAUGCCAUAUACUGGGGUAUAGCUUUGGGAAACUGAAGGUAAUCCCCCAUAGUAUUGCGGGUAGGCAUCUAUCUGCAAUUAAAGUUUCGACGGUAUAUGAUUGGUGUGCGUUCCAUUAGCUAGUUGGUAGGGUAACGGCCUACCAAGGCGACGAUGGGUAGCUGGCGUGAGAGCGCGACCAGCCACACUGGAACUGAGACACGGUCCAGACUCCUACGGGAGGCAGCAGUAGGGGAAUAUUGGACAAUGGGCGAAAGCCUGAUCCAGCCAUGCCGCGUGAUAGAUGAAGGCCUCUGGGUUGUAAUAUCUUUUAUCUGGGAAGAAACUCCUCUAUUCUUAGAGGCCUGACGGUACCAGAGGAAUAAGCACCGGCUAACUCCGUGCCAGCAGCCGCGGUAAAGUCGA